AUCCUGCCCACUUCUUCAUGUACUUGUAACUCUUCCCCAGGUCCCCCCUGCAAUAUCUUUAAUGGGCUGCAUGGGAUUUAUUUCUGUUUGUUGAAGAAAGAAACUUUUUGACAGGAAACAUGGGGAGAAAAAUCCUAUCUUUUCCUGGGGGAAAAAUAAGUGCCAGUUUUGUUCAUCUCUAUUUCUGUGUCAAUGGGGUUCUUAAAAAGAGAGAUUGUGCCUGGGGUCUUCGUCUCAUAGACAAAAAGCCUGAUGACUGACAGCAUGAAUUCAGUGAUUUUACUGCAUUCUGGGUAAGAGGAGGAAACACAGAAACAAGAGCAAGAGAAACACACGCUGCCCAGGUUGAAACUGUUUCCCAGUGCUGUGACUUUUCCUGAGAGCUGAAAUCAGCAGCAUCUGGGCUGGGAGGAUGUCAGCUGGCAGGGGGCAAGCUGGGCUGAAAUACCCCCAGGUAUGGAGCGGCUGGAGGGGUCUUCUGUAGGUGUUUCUACCUGGUCUCCAGUAAAAUGAAAGAAGCAACAGCAAAUACAGUUCAGACUGGGUGUAAGAAAACCUCUUUCUAACUGAUGGUGACCAAGCACUGAAAGAAGCACCAAGGUGUGAGGGAAUCUCCAUCCUUGGACCAUUUAAAAUUCAUCUGAAGAAGGCCUUGAGCAGGCAGAUGCUCUGUGAAGUCAGUGGCUUUCUGCAGGAGCACAGUGAACCUCCUCCUUGCUUUCCUCAUCUGCUCCCCCAUCACCUGUCUCUGCAGAUCCAGGUUUGGAAGGUCAUUUACAGCUGCAUCAUUUGGCAGAGUGCUCUGCUAAUACAUAACUGUGCUACAGGCACUCACGGGAAGGCACUUUGGCUGCAGUGCAGAUUUUGGGCUGUUGUGCAUGCAGGAUCUGCCACUCAGCACCUCCAUGUGUUCAUCAUCCCCUUCACACAUCAGCAGCACAGUCCUUUCCUUGCCAGCGAGGAUGAAUAAAGCCCAUGGCCAAAGCUCUGUGCUUAUAGUGUUUGCUCCAGUGUGUUUUUGGGAACAGAAUGACUUCUAGGUGCCUUUAUUCAGUACCCAGGCUUGUUGGUGCUGGUUUCUUGACCAAAGCCAGGCUAAACUAAAGAUGAGAAGCGGAUGACCUGCAGCACCAAGCCAGCAGUGAACGUGCCUGAGCUAUCAGAGGUCUCUAUGGCAAGUCUGCUCCACAGGCAGGAACUUCUCCAACUGCUGAGCCCUCUCCCUGGGUGCUGCCAUUUCCAUGCUAAGCUGUAUGGUUAUAGAUGUUAAGAUAAGAUGCUUUUGUUUCCCAGUUCUGAGUUACCAUUUGAAGCUGAUAUGAGAGGCCUAAGGCUACUCUAGGAAUUUGCUACAAGUUCCCACCUCCUGAACGUGGUGCCAGUCAAACAGCCUCCCUCUGCCUCAGCCUAUUUACUUGCUCAGGGAUCUAGUCUUAAAAGUUAUUAGCAGAUUAGUGGUUUCUCUUAACCUUGGGCACCAAUCUCCCAAAGAUACCAUUGUACUUUAAUAAGGUGCAUUUGAUAAUCCUCAGAUAAAGGCAUUGGGGGGGGGGGGGAGGAGCACCGAUUCAUCUAAGGGGCACAGGCUAGGAAAGGGUUAAAUUACUCAUGUUUCUAAAUGGCUGAACUACUGUAUGUUGUAGUUUUCAACUGCAAAUCAUCUUUAAUAGCAGACAUCACGGGAUGGCUCAUUACAUUAAGCUAUUUUUCAUGCUAUCUCCUGUAAUAUCCUUUAAUCCAAUGCGUUUCAAAUCACCUCAGGCUAAAAUAAGAGACAUAGCGAUGUAAUAGCCUAGUGUAUUAGUGGGUUAAUUGCCCUGUUGUACUCUCUGGUAGAUAUCUCUGGAAUGAGUUCUAUAUUAAUUGUAAAUUGCUUAAUACAUUUAACUCCUUGA